rnacentral:rRNA from 1 species
AGAAUCAACGCUGGCGGCGUGCCUAACACAUGCAAGUCGAACGAGAAAGUGGAGCAAUCCAUGAGUAAAGUGGCGCACGGGUGAGUAACACGUGACUAACCUACCCUUGAGUGGGGGAUAACCUAGGGAAACCUGGGCUAAUACCGCAUAAUAUCGAGAGAUCAAAGGAGCAAUUCGCUUAAGGAGGGGGUCGCGGUUGAUUAGCUAGUUGGUGAGGUAAUGGCUCACCAAGGCUAUGAUCAGUAUCCGGCCUGAGAGGGCGCACGGACACACUGGAACUGAAACACGGUCCAGACUCCUACGGGAGGCAGCAGUGGGGAAUUUUGCGCAAUGGGGGAAACCCUGACGCAGCAACGCCGCGUGGAGGAUGAAGUCCCUUGGGACGUAAACUCCUUUCGAUCGGGACGAUAAUGACGGUACCGGAAGAAGAAGCCCCGGCUAACUUCGUGCCAGCAGCCGC